UGGGGAAUAUUUCACAAUUGGCGCAAGCCUUAUGCAGCCAUGCCGCGUGUGUGAAGAAGGCCUUCGGGUUGUAAAGCACUUUCAGCGGGGAGGAAGGCGAUAAGGUUAAUAACCUUGUCGAUUGACGUUACCCGCAGAAGAAGCACCGGCUAACUCCGUGCCAGCAGCCGCGGUAAUACGGAGGGUGCAAGCGUUAAUCGGAAUUACUGGGCGUAAAGCGCACGCAGGCGGUCUGUCAAGUCGGAUGUGAAAUCCCCGGGCUCAACCUGGGAACUGCAUUCGAAACUGGCAGGCUAGAGUCUUGUAGAGGGGGGUAGAAUUCCAGGUGUAGCGGUGAAAUGCGUAGAGGUCUGGGGGAAUACCGGUGGCGAAGGCGGCCCCCUGGACAAAGACUGACGCUCAGGUGCGAAGGCGUGGGGAGCAAACAGG
rnacentral:rRNA from 1 species